AGUGAACGCUGGCGGUAGGCCUAACACAUGCAAGUCGAACGGCAGCACAGUAAGAGCUUGCUCUUACGGGUGGCGAGUGGCGGACGGGUGAGGAAUACAUCGGAAUCUACUUUUUCGUGGGGGAUAACGUAGGGAAACUUACUCUAAUACCGCAUACGACCUACGGGUGAAAGCAGGGGAUCUUCGGACCUUGCGCGAUUGAAUGAGCCGAUGUCGGAUUAGCUAGUUGGCGGGGUAAAGGCCCACCCAGGCGACGAUCCGUAGCUGGUCUGAGAGGAUGAUCAGCGACAUGGGAACUGAGACACGGUCAAGACGCCUAAGAGAGGCAGCAGUGGGGAAUAUUGGACAAUGGGCGCAAGCCUGAUACAGUGAGACCGCGUGGGUGAAGAAGGCGUUCGGGUUGUAAAGACGUUUUGUUGGGAGAGAAAAGCAGCAGGUUGAGACGAAGCUGUUCUGACGGUACCCAAAGAAUAAGCACCGGCUAACUUCGUG
rnacentral:rRNA from 1 species